GGAAAUAGAGCAAUAACAGGUCUGUGAUGCCCUUAGAUGUCCGGGGCCGCACGCGCGCUACAAUGACGGUGUCAGCGAGUCAGACCUUCUGGCCCGAAAGGGUUGGGCAAACUGGUCAAUCACCGUCAUGACAGGGAUCGGGGCUUGGAAUUGUUCCCCGUGAACGAGGAAUUCCUAGUAAGUGCAAGUCAUAAGCUUGCGCUGAUUACGUCCCUGCCCUUUGUACACACCGCCCGUCGCUACUACCGAUUGAAUGGUUUAGCAAGGUCCUUGGAUUGGUGCCAUAAUGGUGGUGUCCGCGAGGUUACUGCCAAACUGGUACUGAGAAGAAGACCAAACUUGAUCAUUUAGAGGAAGUAAAAGU
rnacentral:rRNA from 1 species